GACAGAGGGUGCAAACGUUGCUCGGAAUCACUGGGCGUAAAGGGCGUGUAGGCGGGUAGGUAAGUCAGAUGUGAAAUCCCCAGGCUCAACCUGGGAACUGCAUUUGAAACUCCCUUUCUUGAGUAUCGGAGAGGAAAGCGGAAUUCCUGGUGUAGAGGUGAAAUGCGUAGAUAUCUGGAGGAACACCGGUGGCGAAGGCGGCAUCCUGGACCGAUAUUGACGCUGAGGAGCGAAAGCCAGGGGAGCAAACGGG
rnacentral:rRNA from 1 species